AUUGAACGCUGGCGGAAUGCUUUACACAUGCAAGUCGAACGGCAGCACGGACUUCGGUCUGGUGGCGAGUGGCGAACGGGUGAGUAAUGUAUCGGAACGUGCCCAGUCGUGGGGGAUAACGUAGUGAAAAUUACGCUAAUACCGCAUACGAUCUAUGGAUGAAAGCGGGGGAUGGCAAGACCGCGCGCGAUUGGAGCGGCCGAUAUCAGAUUAGGUAGUUGGUGGGGUAAGGGCACACCAAGCCAACGAUCUGUAGCUGGUCUGAGAGGACGACCAGCCACACUGGAACUGAGACACGGUCCAGACUCCUACGGGAGGCAGCAGUGGGGAAUUUUGGACAAUGGGCGAAAGCCUGAUCCAGCCAUUCCGCGUGCAGGAUGAAGGCCCUCGGGUUGUAAACUGCUUUUGUACAGAACGAAAAGGUUUCUACUAAUACUAGGAGCUCAUGACGGUACUGUAAGAAUAAGCACCGGCUAACUACGUGCCAGCCGCCGCCGUAA
rnacentral:rRNA from 1 species